rnacentral:lncRNA from 1 species
AACCAAGCUCUCAACCAACUUGUAUUUUGGGUCCUACGAAAAGUUUCCUCUUGGAGUAUAAAGCCUGUAUUUAUCCAUUGGCCUUAGAAAGUAUGCACAGCUGUGACAUAAGUAACCCCUGCUCUGUUUUUAAAUGUAUGCAAACAUAAAACGAAGAAGAAAAACGACAUUAAAAUAAUGUUAAGGAUUUGGCUUGGGGCCAUCAAAGCUAGGACAUUCCAAGUUAAAGCUGAAACGACAUCCUUAACCUUAACUCACCCCAUUGUGCCUGGGUAUUGCAGCUGCUGAAAGGGGAAAAUCAGAGCGGUUACAGUCUGGCGUGUGAAUGAGUGCUGAGGGACUCUUAAAUCCAUGAUUAUUUGGCUGCUGCACACCACGCACUGGAUCCACGUGCUAGCAAUCCUUAUGCAAUCUUUGCUGGGAGAGAAAAAGAAAUAUCCCUCAGGCUGCAUUUGCACAGUGACGGGAGUUCUGGAGAAAGUAAAAGGGCCACUUGCUUUAAUUAAUGCAAGAUCUAUACCUGGAGAAUGUGAGGAGCAGCAUGAGUCUGAAGAGCUCACCCAGAAUACAUGUGAUCAAUGCAUGGACCAGAGAACCUCCAGGCAGGAGGGAGCAGAAAGGCCUCCACAUCACUCGGGUGGCUGACCAUGCCGCGAGGACAGACAACAGACCCAGGCCUGGAGCCGCAUCAUCCUGCUUGGAGAAAUUUCAGAACAGCCAAUGCACUGAAAGCACAAGGGGUUGAUUUGUGACUGCUUAACAACUACAGAGGCAUUAUGCUGCUUGCUUCCACUUCUACAAGAGGGAUUGGCAUUCCUUCUGCUUCACUUAAAGCCUAGAAAAUGGCAAACCUACCCGUUGCUGCAGCUCUCAGUUGUUAAGCAAGCCACAGUUACAGAUAAAUAAUGUCCUUACAAAGGAUUAGAAAGAAUACAUUAGAGCAAAAUGGAAAAAAAAAAAAAAAAAAAAGAGAGAUCUGGAAGGGCAGUAAGGCAGGAGAAUCAUGGUAGGUUGGACUCCAGUGGAUUGAUGGUGAUUCCUCAUUUAAUUUUCUUCCAUUCUUACGCACUAAGAAUUAUUAUCUGUUAAAGCAUGGGAUUCUUUUGGUGAGCUCCUCAGUUUUAUAUGUAUUUCUUGAAAUUUCCUUCCAGUUUCUGUGGAACACACACAGCAAACCAAGGAAUCGUUCUUUGCAUGGUG